GGAUGUGGCUCAGCGGUAGAGAGCUCACCUAGCAAGGUUGCGACCUGGGUUCGAUUCUCAGCACCA
rnacentral:tRNA from 1 species